AUUCAGUGGAUAAAAGUAUAAAAUUUCUCAGUUUAAACAUUUGUUAUGUUCUCUAUGUUCUAUUGUGAAUAAAAUAUUGGCUCAUGUGAUUUGAAAGUCUUUUAAUUUUCAUUUUAUUCAAAUAAAUAAAAUAAAAAACAUCCCAACAUUUCCGGAAUCCGGGUUGUAUUAAAAGGCUUUUUACUUGCUAAAAAAAUAUAAAAUAUAAUUCAGACGAUAGAAAGGUGUGUAGUAGAUUGUGUAUAACAGAGAUUUCAGCAAAGUUUUGAUCAUGUAAUUUAAAGGCCUUAGAAAUGUGUGUAUUACAUAUGAUCAGUAGGCUUUGACUGUUAAUUUCAUAGCAUCAACAUAGAGACCAAAAUUAAUUCAGAAAUUAUGGACCUCUGAAAAUAAAAACCUUUUAAAAUCAGCAUUUCCGCAACAGACAUAUCCAAUUAAACAUAUUUCUGCUUGGAGUUAACUUGAACUUAAUGUCUGUCCUGCUAGAGCAGGGCAAAAAGUGUUUGCAGACAAACACAGCCCACAUCUCUUCACUUACUCUUUGUCAAAUUUUCUAGCUCAAACUACUGCCAAAGUGUCCACGCUUGGCUGGUUCUUUGAAAUCUGAUUUCAGAUAUUCAGAAAUAGUUAACACUGCAAUGCAAUUUCUAACCCCAUCUUGAUGGUCUUCUUUGCAGAUUUUUCUAUAUUUAACAUGACUGUGUUAAGUCAUAAAAAGAGGAGUGUUAAGCACAAGCACAAGCACUCUCCCAAGAGCUUUCUGAGAUCUGUGCUCACACUUGGAGAUUUUAUUUUCACUUUUAGCUUUUUACAGGGUGUGUAAUUUAACACUCUUUCACUGUGAAACAUGCACAAACACGCAUGGGAAGAUGCGAUUUAACGAAAUAUUAUUUGAAUUUUUAAAAAUUUGUAUUGAAAUUUAUUUGUAUAUAUGUGUGUGUUAUCACAGCUGUUAAAAGACACAUUAAUAAGAAAGUAGUUAGUCAGUUCAUCAGUGCAUUAGACAGCAAAGUGCCAUGAAGUAAUUAAUAAUGACAUCAAACCUGUAAAACCAGCAGGUGCCAUAAUGUGAUCUCUUGCUUCCUGCAACACAUAUUAAAGCAUUAAAUGCAUUAUGACAGCAUAUUCAAAUAAAUAAAUACAUGCAGAUUAAUUUAAGCACAAAAAGAUCAUCAAAGUAUUACUCCAAAAUUAGGUGCAUGCACAAUGUGAUCAAUCAGAGGAAAAUUUUGAACUGUUUUUCUUUAUUUCUCCAUCUCAACCUGUCUUCUCCCUCUCCACUUCUCUCUGUCAACACUCUCUAAUCUAAGAGCUUUACUUCCCCUCUGUCACCUCUGUGUGACUAAUCAAAUCUGCAGAGGAGGUGUCUACACAACAGGAGUGAAAUCAAUAAUCAGGCCCAUGAGGAGUCCUCGGCACCGUAUGACUGAAGUCUGUAUGCCGACGUCUUAAUGGGAUCUCAAGCCCUCUUGAGGCCUGUGUGUCUCUCUCUUUUUUAAUGAGAUUUUACAGCCAGCCUGUGUCACCCUGCCAUGCUGCACUAGGGGUCUGACGGGGAACAAAGGAGUCCUCAUGGCUGUGAGUAUGGGGCACACACCUCCCACUCCUCUCGUUCCCUCUGUUUCCUCUCUCUCUCCCUGUCUUUUUUCCUCUCACUUUCCCCCCUCACUCUGUUGGUUCCCAUCUGGUGAAGGGGUAUUGUGAGAGCUGAGUAAAUAAAGCUCAGUCUGGCAGCAUUGACACACACACACACACACACACACACACACACACACACACACACAUUCAUACCCACCACCACAAACAAAGAAUGACUCCACUAAUUGAUUUCUAAAUCUCUCCCUGUUUUUCAUUUUUGUAAUUCUGUCAUUUAUGCAAGAAAAAGUUCUCUUAUUAUAUGUGAAUAUUUUCUCUCGUGGAAACACAUGUAAAACAUUUGAUGAGCAUCUGCAGUUUUACAGCGCUUUCAAAACAUUAAGGAACUAUACAACCAUUUGCAAACAUAAGGUGUACAGUAUGAAAGAUAACAGAUAUACACAACAUAAUGUCCAUUUCCUAUGCGCUGUUUCCACUGGAUGUGUCCUGCCCCUCUGCGGGAUGCACUUCUCAUUGUGGACUGGCUUUUUAAAGGUCAGGCAUCUCCCCUGAGUCUUUCAGUCACUCUUUCUCCUCCCUGUCACUCAGUCUGUCAUUCAGAUGAUGGUAAGGAGCACCACUGCAUAUUAUGUAUGAAUCCAAAAUGUAGCUCAUCAGUUAACAGAACAUAUUAGAGGAGUUACCCCAGGAGUUAUUGGCUUAUUUUUGAUAUGUAAUUGAGCAUGCUCAUUUUAUAUAUUUCAUAAAUUGAUAUUUCAUAUUUGUUAUGUUUUUGGAUUAUUGUAAAUUUGCAUUUCUAAUAGAACUAACUUAAUUAAAAAAAACACUAAUAUUUAAUAAUAUUGAUACACUAAAUGCAAUCUGUAGCGAAUGUUGAAAUGAAUAUUUAUUUUUAAGCUGUAUAUUAUAGGCUAGUAUUGUGAUGCCAAAAUUCACUUGUAGCAUUUAAAGGGGUCAUGACACAAGAAAUCAAAUUUGCCUUGAUAUUUUGGUAUAUAAGAGGUCUUUGUACCAUUAAAACAUCCUGAAAUUUUCAUAGCUUAAAACGUCCUACUCAUUAUAAACAAAGGAUUUAUUUAAUCAAGCUCCAGAAAUGGCUCUUUUGGAUCUGAGGUGCACGAUGACAUCAUGGGGGCACAAAUAUUUGCAUAAAAAACUGCCUUCAGAGCAAGACAUCAUAGGCCCCGCCCACUGGCAUCCAGUGGCUAACACUUGAUUACGCAAUGUUACACAUUAUAAGUAAACAUCAAGGAACAUAUUAAAAUAAUUUAAAAAUCCAUGUCAUGACCCCUUUAAAACAAUUGUUUUAUUUUCAAUUGUUAAUAAUGACUGUUUAACGAUUAUCAGCCAUAUAUGAAAAUAAUUAUUGUUUUAUCAUUAUUGGCCAGAAAACCCUAAUUUUAAAAUAAUUUACCAUCCCUAAUUUCCUAAUUAUGUACUUUGCAGAAUGCAGUGAAUAGAAACAGCUAGAAGCUUGCUAGGAGCUACAAGAGUGUUAAUGUUGAUGCAUUAAAAUGAUAAAAAUCCUGUAAUAGAAAUGAACAGAUGUGUCUGUUAUAUUCUGUCCCAGCAGAACAUAUAGCAAGAACAUGUGUUAUAUUCUGCUGGGACAGAAUAUAACAGACACAUUUGUUAAUUUCUAUUACAGGAUUUUUAUAAUUUUAAUGCAUCGUUAUGAAUUCAUAUGAAGCUGUAGGCUUGCCCUUCCUGUAUCACGAGCAAGACUUUCCCCACCCACAAGAUUUCCUCUUUCAGCACCUGAACAUGAUGUGAAUCUUGAUUACAGGAAGUGAAUAUGGGAUGUCAUGCAGUACUGACGCAAAAACCCACCCAAGGCUAUGCACAGAAACACCCACACAAACACUCCUGCAGUCAGGUGGUCUCUAAAGCUUGGAGCUGAGUGGGAAAGCCCAGAUGCUCCCUCUGCUUUAUAUUACAUAUAUGCUGAAUCGAACGGUUUCACUUGUCUGUGUUGGGACUGAGGUAGUGGUAAACAUCACCACAUAUCACUUGCCACUUUAAUAAAGACUACAUAAAAAUUUCUUUCCAUUUGCUUAUAUGCUCUGUUGGAAUAGACGAGAUUUUAAUGACUAUGUGGAAUAAUUGAUGAGGAUACUGAGAGCUGGGCCAGUGGGGGAAGGGUCUUAUUCGGUUUUAAUAUGAGAGCUCAUUCAUUCACUGUUUUCCCCCCUCACACAUGAGAUGGAUUACAUAGACAUCCACCCUCACCUCUCCCUCCUUCUCCCAACGGAGAACGAAACACUGGAUACGCCAACCAGUCGCCUGCCCCCUGUCCAUGAGGGGAUCAGAAGAUAUUUAUGGGUUGAUGCAAGCCUUCAGGGCCCUCAUGCAGGCCCCUGUCAUCAAAGAGUGAUUUCAGUCUCACUACACCACCCCUCCAUGCCCCAAGAGACCACUGCAACACCUGCCCCCCACUAGUGGAUGCACAAGCGCCUCCACCCACCAACAAAAAUACAUACACCAGCGAAACCACACAGGUUUAUACUUACAAUGAUGCUUUAAAAUAAUGAUCUAAACACCCUAUUUUAUAAGAUUGCCAUUAUGCCAGUACAGUCUGUGUGCGCUCUUCAUCUUUAUUCUCAGUGUGACAUUAGACAGAUAUAAAUGAGAAGCUUGAAUGAACACCAAGUGAGGUGGGUGUGGACUGCAAUCUGUGCUGGACAACCGUGACGGUUACGCCUGACAGAACCGGAGUAAACACAUGUAAUAGGGUCACAAGUGAUGGGCUCAUUUUGGUUGUCCAAUUAGCAAAAACAAUAGCUCAACAUGGAAUCUGCAAACCAAUAAGUUGUCAAAAAAACAUCAAAUUACUUUAUUCUUUGAUUUUCAUCCAUUCAUAGAAAGCAGCUAUAUUUUUAACUUAGUAGUAGUGGUGGUAGUACGAGUUAAAAUUUCAUUAUUAUAGAAGUUAAUGGUUAUUAUUUAAAAAGUUACUAAGUAUUACAAUUAAAACUGUUAUAUAACUAACUAUUAAAACUGAGCUAUUUCUCCAACUUUGUGGUUCUGUUCAUGGUAUCAGGGUGGUGAGUUUUAAAUAAAUAUUUCUGUUAAAAUAGUAA